UCGACAAAUCUGUGGUCUUAUGCAUAUAAAGACACAUUCUCCUGUAAAAUUCAUUCAAGUAACGGAUUAUAACCAGUAACACAACUAUGCGAGGCACCAAUCUGUUGAUUAUUUUAAGUUUAAUUAAAUUUGUUCAUGGAUGUUCACCAUUUGUAUACCACGACCAAACGACUUACUGCAGAGCUGCUUACGCAUUCACAGGCGAAGUACAAAGUUCAAAUGUCAUGGAUUUUGAGUCCGACUUUCGGAUUCGAGUGACAUCAAAUAUAAAGGGCAAAAUAAGUUCGAAAGGAAGGGAGAUAAAAGUGUAUGGUAGAGGAAGAAUGCAUUCUUGUGGCUCUACAAGUCUGACACUCAACAAGGAAUACAUCU